CUGACCACACUCCACCACGCCUUGUUCCGAGGUAUCUGGGUGUUCCCGCUGCAGGCCAGUAAGUGGGGGCUGAACCCACAGGUUCUCUCCUUUGAGGACCCAGUGAACAGCCAUCUUGACAUUUGCAUUUUGCCAUGAGGGACACUGAGAGUCGAAGAG
rnacentral:lncRNA from 1 species